UAUAUAUAUAUAUAUAUAUGCAUAGCGCGCACCAGACCACGUCACUCGAGUAACAGAAGAAAUACAAACCACAAUCUAUCGAUCAAAAAUCGAAAGCAGUCAACUUUCACGCAGCUGAUUUACUGUCGCACAUCACGAUCGGCUUCCAUGAUAAAAACAUCGUGGUCCAAAACUCAUGUAAGAUUAACGGUCGUGAUCAUAAGUGUGCGAACUUUCACGUUCACUGCUACACCAAUCUCACAUUCCUCUUCAUUGUUCAGUCUCUGAGUUCUCUCCCUCCAACAAUCAGAAACCAACGAAUGAAAAAGCAGGCGACGGAGCUGCUUUUGUGAAUAUUUCUUCCUUCUCUUACUUUUUAAUUCAGACGCAAGCAUUUGAGUUAAUAGUGAAACUAAGAGAGAGCAAAGAGAUAUGGAUGAAAGGCCAGAGACGGAGCUCAUUUCCAUUCCGGCCACUCCGCGUGCCUCAACGCCGGAGAUUCUAACUCCUUCGGGUCAACGAUCACCUAGGCCUCCUUCGAAGGAAGCGAAA
rnacentral:misc_RNA from 1 species